UCCAGAUUAUAUCUGACUUCAUAAGAAAAGUGGACUCGAUGCCACUGAAUAUGCCAGUGAGAUGCAAUUGAUUGCAGGGUAUUUGGUAGUCAGUAAUGUGAAUAUGCAUGAAGGUGCCCGCUGAGUUGUUAAUAUCUCAAUCCGUGCAAUUUUGCAAACCAAGUUUAACACCAAGGUCAACAAGUUUCUUUCUUUCUUUGUCGUUUGUAUAUUCUGAGUUUUACAUGUGAAGAGAUAUGGUCAGCUCAUCCUUUUUUCAUUGUACUAUAUUUGGUUGAUGAUUUGACGUUUCACAGGUGAAAAUUACGAACUUGAAUGUGUUUUCAGCAAUUAACAGGAAACUUAACUAGGAGAUCCAGACAAUCACUUCUCUAUAACCAGGGCCAAGUCGACCAGAUCUUGGGAAGAAGAAACUCAGCCAUUUCUUCCAGAAGUAAUACUCGCCCAAGUAUAGCAUCCGAGCUUCUUUACUGGAGCUUCCUGAAGAAAAGGGCAGGACGUACGAGGCCAUGGGUGUAGGCACUUAACAUGUAUUCUUCCUCGCAAAUGAUGCCAAUUUAUUGGCAAGGGUGCUGAAUUAAAGUUCCCGACAAAUUUGCUAAUGAGUGAUAUCGUUGCUUUCUUUAACAAUGAGAACUUUUCAGUCAAUGGUGUUUACCUUGCUUCUAAAGAUUGAUAUCAUCUUUUUUGUUUUGGAUCAUUGCUAUUUUUUUUUCCAGAUAUUAUUUGAGCUCUUGGUUAAAGGUGAAACUGCCCAAGGAAUGAUAAAAGCAAAAGACUUGGUUUAGGCAAAGUAUAUGCUAUUCAGAGAAAAGUUUACUCUGACCCAUUUUGAAGGUUCAUCGAGAAUAUACUUCAGGCUUACCCUACUUUAAUAGGUUUUUUUGUCUGUAUGUUUCUGAUAAUCGAUCAUGUCGAAAUAAAAAAAAUGGUUA